AUUGAACGCUGGCGGCAGGCCUAACACAUGCAAGUCGAGCGGAUGAAGGGAGCUUGCUCCUGGAUUCAGCGGCGGACGGGUGAGUAAUGCCUAGGAAUCUGCCUGGUAGUGGGGGAUAACGUCCGGAAACGGGCGCUAAUACCGCAUACGUCCUGAGGGAGAAAGUGGGGGAUCUUCGGACCUCACGCUAUCAGAUGAGCCUAGGUCGGAUUAGCUAGUUGGUGGGGUAAAGGCCUACCAAGGCGACGAUCCGUAACUGGUCUGAGAGGAUGAUCAGUCACACUGGAACUGAGACACGGGCCAGACUCCUACGGGAGGCAGCAGUGGGGAAUAUUGGACAAUGGGCGAAAGCCUGGUCCAGCCAUGCCGCGUGUGUGAAGAAGGUCUUCGGAUUGUAAAGCCCUUUAAGUUGGGAGGAAGGGCAGUAAGUUAAUACCUUGCUGUUUUGACGUUACCAACAGAAUAAGCACCGGCUAACUUCGUG
rnacentral:rRNA from 1 species